rnacentral:rRNA from 1 species
AGAGUUUGAUCCUGGCUCAGAUCGAACGCCGGCGGCAGGCCCAACACAUGCAAGUCGAGCGGUAGAGAGGAGCUUGCUCCUCUUGAGAGCGGCGGACGGGUGAGUAAUGCCUAGGAAUCUGCCUGGUAGUGGGGGAUAACGUUCGGAAACGGACGCUAAUACCGCAUACGUCCUACGGGAGAAAGCAGGGGACCUUCGGGCCUUGCGCUAUCAGAUGAGCCUAGGUCGGAUUAGCUAGUUGGUGAGGUAAUGGCUCACCAAGGCGACGAUCCGUAACUGGUCUGAGAGGAUGAUCAGUCACACUGGAACUGAGACACGGUCCAGACUCCUACGGGAGGCAGCAGUGGGGAAUAUUGGACAAUGGGCGAAAGCCUGAUCCAGCCAUGCCGCGUGUGUGAAGAAGGUCUUCGGAUUGUAAAGCACUUUAAGUUGGGAGGAAGGGCAGUAAAUUAAUACUUUGCUGUUUUGACGUUACCGACAGAAUAAGCACCGGCUAACUCUGUGCCAGCAGCCGCGGUAAUACAGAGGGUGCAAGCGUUAAUCGGAAUUACUGGGCGUAAAGCGCGCGUAGGUGGUUUGUUAAGUUGGAUGUGAAAUCCCCGGGCUCAACCUGGGAACUGCAUUCAAAACUGACUGACUAGAGUAUGGUAGAGGGUGGUGGAAUUUCCUGUGUAGCGGUGAAAUGCGUAGAUAUAGGAAGGAACACCAGUGGCGAAGGCGACCACCUGGACUAAUACUGACACUGAGGUGCGAAAGCGUGGGGAGCAGACAGGAUUAGAUACCCUGGUAGUCCACGCCGUAAACGAUGUCAACUAGCCGUUGGAAGCCUUGAGCUUUUAGUGGCGCAGCUAACGCAUUAAGUUGACCGCCUGGGGAGUACGGCCGCAAGGUUAAAACUCAAAUGAAUUGACGGGGGCCCGCACAAGCGGUGGAGCAUGUGGUUUAAUUCGAAGCAACGCGAAGAACCUUACCAGGCCUUGACAUCCAAUGAACUUUCUAGAGAUAGAUUGGUGCCUUCGGGAGCAUUGAGACAGGUGCUGCAUGGCUGUCGUCAGCUCGUGUCGUGAGAUGUUGGGUUAAGUCCCGUAACGAGCGCAACCCUUGUCCUUAGUUACCAGCACGUAAUGGUGGGCACUCUAAGGAGACUGCCGGUGACAAACCGGAGGAAGGUGGGGAUGACGUCAAGUCAUCAUGGCCCUUACGGCCUGGGCUACACACGUGCUACAAUGGUCGGUACAGAGGGUUGCCAAGCCGCGAGGUGGAGCUAAUCCCACAAAACCGAUCGUAGUCCGGAUCGCAGUCUGCAACUCGACUGCGUGAAGUCGGAAUCGCUAGUAAUCGCGAAUCAGAAUGUCGCGGUGAAUACGUUCCCGGGCCUGACUACAACGCCCGUCAAG